rnacentral:rRNA from 1 species
UACGUAGGGGGCAAGCGUUGUCCGGAAUCAUUGGGCGUAAAGAGCGUGUAGGCGGCCCGGUAAGUCCGCUGUGAAAGUCCAGGGCUCAACCCUGGGAUGCCGGUGGAUACUGUCGGGCUCGAGUCCGGAAGAGGAGUGUGGAAUUCCUGGUGUAGCGGUGAAAUGCGCAGAUAUCAGGAGGAACACCGGUGGCGAAGGCGGGUCUCUGGGCCGUAACUGGACGCUGAGGAGCGAAAGCGUGGGGAGCGAACAGG